rnacentral:lncRNA from 1 species
CAUGGAAGAAGCAGGCCAAGAUUCAAUGACCUUUAUUGAGCCACAUGCAAGGGGCAUGUGUGAAGACUAGUAUACUGACUGUUUGUUAAACACUUAAUACAAGCUACACUCUCUUGGUGGGGUCAUUAUUUUUCUCAUCCCACAAGGGAUGAAAUACAAGAAUAGUUUAAAGUUUUAUACAAAUUUCACUUUCCCAAAUAUUGGUGUGUUACAAAUAGGAUUCAAAAUCAUCAAGAGUUACAGUGGAAAUUUUAAAUCAUGCAUUCUGGACAGUAUUAUCCUGAAUCCACUGUCAAACUUGUGAAUUAUUCUGACAAAAUUCUCUAUGAACAAAAUACCUCAAAUGAUGAUCAUUUACAUAAAUAAUCUUUUAAAGCUUUUCAAACACAUGCUAUUAAAUUAUUUCAAAAUAUAGAAAUAACUUCAUAUGGCGUUUUCACCUGGAACAAUGUAUUCUUUCCUAAGAGGGCACCCACUAUUCCAUGUUUUGCCAUAUCUCUUUUCCACAUUCAGAUGGACACUGCCCAUUUACUGGGACUAGAGGAGAUGACCACCCAUUUUGAUCUCUGGAUAAAGAAGAGGAAGAAUGUAUUGAAUGAAAGCAAAAACAAGUUCAUUCACUGAACCUGAAGCUCCAUGAUUUUGCUAGAUUUAACUGGGGAGCAAUCACUAACAGAAUUCCGUGUCACUCUGAAUAGCACUCGAACUUCAGGCAUUGGAUUCCAGGCCUUGGACACAGUAGGAAUCUGCUGUAUCAAUGAAGGAUGUGUCCAGUCAUUGGCUUCCUGAGACAUAGUCUGAUUAUGUCAUUCAAACUACCCUACAUCUCAUGGUCUGUUUGCCUGUGACUUCCAAGUAAUAAGAUCACAGGUGUGCUCCUCAUAAGUGUUUUAAAAAGACACAUUUCAAACACUUGAAAAAAAGUUUUCACUGUUGUUAAGCAGAUGAAAAAAAUUGAAAUUAUAGAUCUUGUGAAAUGAUUCAUAAAUGCUUGAAAACUUGUGUUCUCGGAAAGUUUCAAGGCUCUUAAAAUCAUUUAGAAUUUGCAGAAAAAAGAAAAUGCUUUGGCAAUAGUCUUUCAAAAAGAGCAUACACAUACAUGUAAAAUGUCUCAAGGAAAAGAUGU